rnacentral:rRNA from 1 species
CAGUCGCCACGGUAAAACGUAGGGUGCGAGCGUUAAUCGGAAUUACUGGGCGUAAAGCGUGCGCAGGCGGCUUUGCAAGACAGAUGUGAAAUCCCCGGGCUCAACCUGGGAACUGCAUUUGUGACUGCAAGGCUAGAGUACGGUAGAGGGGGAUGGAAUUCCGCGUGUAGCAGUGAAAUGCGUAGAUAUGCGGAGGAACACCAAUGGCGAAGGCAAUCCCCUGGACCUGUACUGACGCUCAUGCACGAAAGCGUGGGGAGCAAACAGGAUUAGAUACCCCAGUAGUCCCUGUCUCUUAUAC